GGCCUUUUGAAUUUAAUAUAAGGUCUGACCUGCCCAGUGAUAGUUUUAACGGCCGCGGUAUACUGACCGUGCAAAGGUAGCAUAAUCAUUAGUCUUUUAAUAGAGGGCUGGAAUGAAAGGUUUCACGAGGAACUGACUGUCUCAUUUUAUUUGUUUUAAAAUUUAAUUUUUUAGUUAAAAAGCUAAAAUUUUAUUGGUAGACGAGAAGACCCUAUAGAGCUUUACAUAUAACUAAAUAAAUAUUUUUAUAUUAAUAUUUUUAUUUAUUUUUGUGUUUUGUUGGGGUGACAAAAAUAUAUAACUAACUUUUUUAUUUAUUUUACAUUGAUUUAUGAAUAUUAGAUCCAAUAUUAUUGAUUAUUAGACUAAGUUACCUUAGGGAUAACAGCGUAAUCCUCCUCCAGAGUUCAUAUUUACAGGAUGGGCUUGCGACCUCGAUGUUGGAUUAAGAUAAUAAUUAGGUGUAGCCGCUUAAUUGAUAGGUCUGUUCGACCUUUAAAUUCUU
rnacentral:rRNA from 1 species